CCUACGGGGGGCAGCAGUGAGGAAUAUUGGUCAAUGGACGAGAGUCUGAACCAGCCAAGUAGCGUGAAGGAUGACUGCCCUAUGGGUUGUAAACUUCUUUUAUAUGGGAAUAAAACGUUCCACGUGUGGGAUUUUGUAUGUACCAUAUGAAUAAGGAUCGGCUAACUCCGUGCCAGCAGCCGCGGUAAUACGGAGGAUCCGAGCGUUAUCCGGAUUUAUUGGGGUUAAAGGGAGCGUAGGUGGAUUGUUAAGUCAGUUGUGAAAGUUUGCGGCUCAACCGGAAAAUUGCAGUUGAAACUGGCAGUCUUGAGUACAGGAGAGGUGGGCGGAAUUCGUGGUGUAGCGGUGAAAUGCUUAGAUAUCACGAAGAACUCCGAUUGCGAAGGCAGUUCACUGGACUGCAACUGACACUGAGGCUCGAAAGUGUGGGUAUCAAACAGGAUUAGAUACCCUAGUAGUC
rnacentral:rRNA from 1 species